rnacentral:rRNA from 1 species
GACGGCAGCACGGGAGCAAUCCUGGUGGCGAGUGGCGAACGGGAGAGCAAUAUAUCGGAACGUGCCCAGUCGUGGGGGAUAACGCAGCGAAAGCUGUGCUAAUACCGCAUACGAUCUAUGGAUGAAAGCGGGGGACUCGUAAGGGCCUCGCGCGAUUGGAGCGGCCGAUAUCAGAUUAGCUAGUUGGUGGGGUAAAAGCCCACCAAGGCGACGAUCUGUAGCUGGUCUGAGAGGACGACCAGCCACACUGGAACUGAGACACGGUCCAGACUCCUACGGGAGGCAGCAGUGGGGAAUUUUGGACAAUGGGCGCAAGCCUGAUCCAGCAAUGCCGCGUGCAGGAUGAAGGCCUUCGGGUUGUAAACUGCUUUUGUACGGAACGAAACGGUGAGCUCUAAUAAAGUUUGCUAAUGACGGUACCGUAAGAAUAAGCACCGGCUAACUACGUGCCAGCAGCCGCGGUAAUACGUAGGGUGCAAGCGUUAAUCGGAAUUACUGGGCGUAAAGCGUGCGCAGGCGGUGAUGUAAGACAGAUGUGAAAUCCCCGGGCUCAACCUGGGACCUGCAUUUGUGACUGCAUCGCUAGAGUACGGUAGAGGGGGGAUGGAAUUCCGCGUGUAGCAGUGAAAUGCGUAGAUAUGCGGAGGAACACCGAUGGCGAAGGCAAUCCCCUGGACCUGUACUGACGCUCAUGCACGAAAGCGUGGGGAGCAAACAGGAUUAGAUACCCUGGUAGUCCACGCCCUAAACGAUGUCAACUGGUUGUUGGGUCUUCACUGACUCAGUAACGAAGCUAACGCGUGAAGUUGACCGCCUGGGAGUACGGCCGCAAGGUUGAAACUUAAAUGAAUUGACGG